ensembl:lncRNA
GGGUUCGUUCCCUGCCUGGGGUCAGUGUGUGCUGCCCUGUGCCAAGGCUCCUCCCAGCCGUGUGCGUGCUGUGGAGUGGAUGGGUACACACGGAUGGAUGGAUGGGACCCCUCUGUGGGGGGAAGCAGGGCGAGAGCGCUGCGGAAGGGACGAGGUGGUUGUAGAGAGAUUGCAGAGCCAGACUGAUUGCCUCGCUCGCCUCCCACGUGCGUCCACCAGUUUAUACAAAUAGCUGUGUGUGCACAGCAGGCAGAGGCAGAGAGCAGCGCCUGUCUGGCACACCGAGCAGCCGGCUUCUCCCGGGGCAGCCCUGCGUGGGACCCCCAGCCCCACAUUAUCACUGCGAGCCCUGGGUUUGGUACUUCAAGCUGACAUUGGGAAGUUCCUCCUCCUCUGCUUCAGGAGGCAGGGAAACAGAUAGAGAGGAGAGGCAGAGCUGGCGGUUGGAUGUGGUGAUCUUAGCGGUCUUUUCCAGCCCUAACGAUUCUAUGAGUCUAUGAUGCCAUGAGGGAGGUCACCACUGCAUCCAAGCUCCAGGACGUGACAUCCACGUGGAGGCAUUCCCUCCAAGAGCUCCAAAAAUGAGGCAGAAGCCGCAUUUCUGCACGCACUGAUUACUGAGGAGCAACAAACAGCUGCAUGCAAAAGUGGAAAGCAGGUGCUGGGCACGGCCACCUCCCAACUUCCUCGUGCUGAGUUUUCCCAUGAGCAGUGAAUGCCAAGCAGCCUCUAACCCAGAGCAUCCAGGUUAAUUACUCAUUAAUAGCACUGAAACACCCUUCACAUUCUCCAGGAAAUGUAUUCCAGCCAGCACGAAAGGCAACGCAAUGCUCUGAUUCAUCCCAGCGUCCAGGAGAACAUCGCAGCAAUAAACUGAUAAGGAAGAACAGGUCCGAUGCAGCUCCUCUCCAGCCUGUAAUUAGAGCAGUCUGCAUGGCAAUUAACACAAAGUUCCCACUGGUGUGGCUCGGGGCGGGCUCCCAUCCCGCUGCUCUACAGAUGAGUUCUUCCUUCCUUCCAGGCCCACCCCUGGCAGGCACUGCACCCAUGCAGGGCAGCCCUCAGCCCCCGCAGCCUUCCCUGGUGUCGGUGCCAUGCUGGGUAUCUCCCAUAGGGCCAAACUCAUGGUCACAGCACCCAAAAUGCAGCACAGGGUGGGCUCUGCAGCACACCAACCAGCUCCCCUCUCUCAUCCACUCAGCUCAGUCUCAGAGCCCACAAGAUAUGCCACUCUAUGCAAAUCUACCCACCUGCCACUCAGCAGAAAUAGGAGUUCAUUUUGAGUCCCAGAGCCCCAGGCUUUGACACUUGCCAUGCUAAGCACUGCUCAGGGCUGCCUGCAGGCAGCACAGAGCCACUGCCAUCUGCUGCCAUGGGCUGCCAUCACACCGUGCUGCUCCUGGGCUGCCCCACACUUUGACUUUAAUCCCUAUCCAUACUCUUUAUCCAUGCAAUUGCCCACAGUGCCCCGUGCCUCUGAUUUUCCCUCCCUGAGUAACAGGCAAACUUCUCGCUUCUGCCUGCUAAGCUGCCGUGAGCUUCAGCUCUCUGGAAUGACCAGGAUGGGCAGAUGUCACCUGGAUGCCACCACCCCAAGGGCUGCUCUGAAGAUGCUCUGCUGCAAACCUAUGUGGUUUUUCCCAGAGAAGGCGGCUCAGGGCCAGACACAAACACCCAUUACAGACGCAGGUGGGGAGGUGCUGCAAUAGCAGUGACUCAGGACUGCACCAUCUCGCCCUGCUGACGGGCUCUGUGUGGGCUCAUCCUGCCCAGGACACCGUCUCCAAGGGCUGGGAGCCACCUGUUGGGCAAAAGUGGGGCAGAGGAGCAGCGUUGCUCAACCCAACCUCAUUCACCACUCAUCCCAGAGCAUCAUCUCCAUCACCUGCAGCAUAAUUCCCUUUGCAAGCCAAGCGGCAAGUCUACUUUCUGCUUCAGUUGCUUCCCUCUGCAAAAAGCGUUUGCUAACUCCCAUUAUCCAAUAUUUAACAGCGCACAGCAAUAAACAAAGUGUUAGAGAUGAGAGUACACGCCGCGUGUGUUGUGAGGCUGCAUUCAAAAUGCAGAGGCUGUCUGCUGAGGGAAGCAGUGCUCUGUGCAGCUUUCAGGUGCGUUCUGCUCUCUAUCAGAGCCCAAUUAGAUUCCUGCUCCGGGGAGAACAGCUCUUUGCAGAGCAGAGAUGGAGCGCCCUACGUGCACACAGUGAUUGCUGCUUGUCAUAAAGAUGGACAUGGCUACCAAAAGGUGCAAGUCAUUAUCUGUCCCAGUUAUUCUCCCUCCACAAUGCAGUGAAUAAAGACCAACCGCACCGCCAUCAUCACCCACAGCCUCCAGUGGUGGCACUAUGGGGACCAGGACCCCAUGGAUGGAGGUGUCCCCAGGGCACGGGCUGCCAGGACCCACAUCUCACCCAUCCCUACAUUUCAUUCCAGAUGCACAUGGAAAGCAUCCCCCGGCUUCCAGUUCCAGCCUCCCACCUCAGCCGUGCAGCCGCUCCAGAACAACAUCCAUCCCCAUCGUUCCUCUUGCUUUCAAUCCACAAUCCAGAUUUGCCCGGAGACCUGUGAGUACAUUUCCCUUUUUUGUUGUUGUUGUUUGGUUUUGAGUCAGGUGUUUUCCAUUUGCUGAUAACGGCGUGUGUUUGUUCCAAGAUCACCUGCAUAAACACGAUGGGGGCAGGGGGCAAGGUUCAAGAGUUGAG